UUACUGGGCGUAAAGCGUACGUAGGCUGUUACUUAAGCUAGAUGUGAAAGCCCCGGGGCUCAACCUGGGAACUGCAUUUAGAACUGAGUAGCUAGAAUGUGUGAGAGGUAAGUGGAAUUUCCAGUGUAGCGGUGAAAUGCGUAGAGAUUGGAAAGAACACCAGUGGCGAAGGCGACUUACUGGCAUAACAUUGACGCUGAGGUACGAAAGCGUGGGUAGCAAACAGGAUUAGAUACCCUGGUAG
rnacentral:rRNA from 1 species